GACCAGAAAGCUGAUCUCAUUCAGCUUGGUGUGAAGCUGUGCCUGGCCAGCUUUUUGGCAGGAGGCUCUUUUUGGCUGUCCUUGCCUCUCUGGUUCACUGCUCCUGAGAAUCUUGUAGAAGCAGCAAGGUUUCUAUAUGUCUCCACGCCUGUUCAGGGAGAUUAUUGCCCGUAAGCGCUUAAUUUUGGAGUCCAAAGGCACGUAAUUUAAGACAGAGCUAGGAGGCGUGUGAACUAUCAGCUUCAGGAAUAUGCUGUAGGUUUGGAGAUUGGAAUGGAGAUUAUAGCUAAUCAUUUUAAGCUUUAGGAGCACAAGAGUCUGUGGUGGUCACAAGAUCCCUUCAGCAACAUCUUGACUCAAGCAGCUUGUUGCGUUGUUUGUAAAAGUCCAAUUUUCUUUUGGAGGAAAAUCAAUACAGCUCAUUACUUAGCCGAGAAAAGAUCCCUGUGUCAGUUCCACUGGAAGGCAGGCCUUGAGCAGGCUCAGCCUGUGUUUGUAAGCCAGACAACAGGCUGAUAGCUUUGUCUUAAAUUAUCUGCUCCAAACAAAAACUGCCCCACUGAGAAGACCGAUCAGCCUCCCGCAGACCACCACCAAAGAACUGCUCAACAAGUGAAUGCCACCAGCCUUGGACAAAAUACACACUGGAAAAAAAAGUAACAGCACAGAAGACACUUUUUUACACCUGCUGUGAUGACUAGAUGCCUGGAGCAAACUGCUUCUCCUGGACUGCAGCUCAUGAACUCACCUACAAUCUGAUUCAAGUGCAGUUAUUAAAGGGACGCACUAAUACCAGGAUUAAUCUGAAGCUACUGUACAAAAGUGCAUUCUGGCACCUCUGACAAUAGACUUACUGUGACGCUGGUCUCAGCUGGCAUGGCAUCCAGGCUUGAGUACUGUGUGGUAGAACUGCACCCCUGUGCAUUAUCCUAUCAUCAGAUAAAACAGUGUCUUGUCCUUACUUAAAUUGUCUCAGAAGAAAGGAAAGCUGGAGCGCUGAGCCUCUUAUGGGCCAGCUUGCAAUGAGCAUUCAUGAAUUUUAGAAAAGACUUCCAUGAGACCAGAAGCAUUGAGAAGGAGAGAACCACAAAGCAGGACGCUGACUUGCUGCUGCCUAAAAAGCUGAAAGGAGAAGAGCAGAAAUACCACAAAUACAGCAAGGCUCCUUUGCCAGGCAGCGGGGCAUCAUAGCAGCAGACAACGCAAUUUUCCUCCAAAUACAUAAAAAUGAGCGUGACGAAUGCAGGAGAUAGAGGACCAUAGGGUAAUGCUGGUAGAGCCUAUUCCACCCUUGGGCAAGGGCAAAGACUAUGUUUGGUCAUGAAAUGUGGAGACGUCACCACAUUCCAAGUGCUGAGUGUGAUUACGGAUGCAGCAGAUCUCUUGCUGGGACGUGCGCACGGGGAAAUGUUUCCCAGAGAUGGAGCAAUCUCGAUGCAAAAAUUCUUUCUUGUCUCAUGGAUUGUGCCAAGGAAAACAGCACUGGGGCAAGGCAAUCUCACAGCAGGAAUAAGUGAGCCCAUGAAUGAGUCCGCUGUAGCACCGUUAUGGGCAUGAAUGCGUGCUGGCCCUUCGCACGCGGGAGAACUGGAAAAGGCUUUGGGCAGAGCCCUGUGCUGUGGCUGGUUGGUGUUGAUCCCACCUCAAAACAGGAGAUGGAGAAAGCACUAAUGGUCUGCCAGGCUUGGCAGUACUGGCAGAGAGAAGGGAAAGGAAGGGAGCCACCAAAGAAGGACCAUUCUGUCUGUCUUCCUGGGAAAAAGAAAUAUCUUGGCACCUCCAGCUAUCAAUCCCUGCCUUUCAGACCCUUUUACCCCCUAGAAGUACUGCAUGCCUUGUAGUCAAUGGUUUUCAAGCCAAAUCUGAGGUCAUAAUCUAGAUUUCAAUAGCAAAAGAUCUUCAAAGGGAAUGCCUGAUCUUUCCCUCUGAUACUCAUGGAAAUCCACUUAAGGUCCCCUGAUGCUCUCAGCUCUGGUUAUGAAGGCUGAGAGGGGGGAAUGCUCUCUCACAGCGUACCCAUCAGCCACUCUUGAUCAAAGUCUGGAUCAAAGCCUGGCAGCCAGUAUGCAUCCAGGAGCAGAAAAAUAAGUACACAGGUGGAGAAAGAAAUGAGGAUCUGAAAUUUGCCCUUGGGUAGCCAGCCUUCUGUAUCAACGUUGUGAGUAUUCUCAGCUGUUAAGUAAAGCUGAGAAGAUAAAUCCCAAAUAUAAGAAAUUAAAAUCAAUAAACUCACCGAGUCCACCAUGUCACAGUUCAGACUCAUAAAGAGAUACAGCCACUAAAUCCCCACAGUGCUCCUCUUUCACAAUUGCACACAUUAAGAAAAGGGAGGAAAGAGAUAUAUGAAACAUUUGUCUGGGUAUAGGAAUCAGUUAUCUUAAUGGUGCAAUAUCAAAAGGAAAUAUUGUCUCAUUUAGACAUCUACCAGCCACAGUCACUACAAUGCUCCCAAAAGAAUGGUAAUUAUUCUCACAGAUGCCUAGAAAUUAAGAAUUAUACUUUCACUGUGUUUAAUAUCCUAGCUGUGCUUUCAAGGAUCAUCUGUCUUAGUAAAGCUUUGGGGAUCUAAUUCAAUUGCUUUUUGCCUGUCAUUGCUUAUUUAUAAAACAUGUAUCUUCCUGGUGAUACUGUGUUCCAGUGGAUCUCUUAGAAGCUGGAAAAAUGGAUGAACAAGAUGGAUGUGAUCUGCUCACCAUGCCUCUAGGACUGCAUCCUGUCCUCAGUUGUCUCGUUUUGCUAAACAAAGGACAUACCUAAAAAACGCAUCAGCCUCGAGCUGAUCACACCACACAAUAGGGCAGAGACACAGCCACCUUUUGGUACUUUGUGCUGGUUGUUCUGCUAAAACCAACAGCCAGCUGGUGAUUUUUCACCUCAGCUAACAACAUCUGCAAGGUGUGAGACAUUUGCUUGCCUGCGUGCAGACAAAGAAUAAUUUAUAAUGGAUUAUUUACAAGAUCACACUGUUAUGGAACAGCUUUACUAGGAGCCCUAGAGGAACACCAAAAUUGAUAAGCUAUGCAGAGAUAGCUGAAAUGCAGCCAUGCCUCAAGGGAGGCACUGUAGUGCUUGGGGAUGUCACAUGCAUGUGCUAAUGAUAAAGGCAAAAUAUUAGCGUAAUA